GAUGAACGCUAGCUACAGGCUUAACACAUGCAAGUCGCGGGGCAGCAUGGGGGUUGCUUGCAGUCCCUGAUGGCGACCGGCGCACGGGUGAGUAACGCGUAUCCAACCUGCCCUUCACCACGGGAUAACCCGGCGAAAGUCGGACUAAUACCGUAUGUUGUCCAUUGACGGCAUCCGAUUUGGACGAAAGGCUUAGCGGUGAGGGAUGGGGAUGCGUCCGAUUAGCUUGACGGCGGGGUAACGGCCCACCGUGGCUACGAUCGGUAGGGGUUCUGAGAGGAAGGUCCCCCACACUGGAACUGAGACACGGUCCAGACUCCUACGGGAGGCAGCAGUGAGGAAUAUUGGUCAAUGGGCGUAAGCCUGAACCAGCCAAGUAGCGUGCAGGAUGACGGCCCUAUGGGUUGUAAACUGCUUUUAUGCGGGGAUAAAGGGACCCACGUGUGGGUUUUUGCAGGUACCGCAUGAAUAAGGACCGGCUAAUUCCGUG
rnacentral:rRNA from 1 species